GUAUUAAUAGGGUAGUGAUAAUCUUGGUUGUUACCAUCGACUAGCCGCGAGUUCGAUUCUUGCUUAGCACA